UGGGGAAUUUUGGACGAAUUGGGCGAAAGCCUGAUCCAGCAAUGCCGCGUGUGUGAAGAAGGCCUUCGGGUUGUAAAGCACUUUUGUCCGGAAAGAAAUCCUUGACUCUAAUACAGUCGGGGGAUGACGGUACCGGAAGAAUAAGCACCGGCUAACUACGUGCCAGCAGCCGCGGUAAUACGUAGGGUGCAAGCGUUAAUCGGAAUUACUGGGCGUAAAGCGUGCGCAGGCGGUUUGCUAAGACCGAUGUGAAAUCCCCGGGCUCAACCUGGGAACUGCAUUGGUGACUGGCAGGCUAGAGUAUGGCAGAGGGGGGUUAGAAUUCCACGUGUAGCAGUGAAAUGCGUAGAGAUGUGGAGGAAUACCGAUGGCGAAGGCAGCCCCCUGGGCCAAGUACUGACGCUCAUGCACGAAAGCGUGGGGAGCAAACNGGCUUAGAUACCCUGGUAGUCCACGCCGUAAANGGUGGGCACUAGGU
rnacentral:rRNA from 1 species